UACGGGGGAGCAAGCGUUGUUCGGAUUUACUGGGCGUAAAGGGCGCGGUAGGCGGCGUGACAAGUCACUUGUGAAAUCUCCGGGCUUAACUCGGAACGGUCAAGUGAUACUGUCGUGCUAGAGUACAGAAGGGCAACUGGAAUUCUCGGUGUAGCGGUGAAAUGCGUAGAUAUCGAGAGGAACACCUGCGGCGAAGGCGGUGCUGGGCUGACACUGACGCUGAUGCGCGAAAGCUAGGGGAGCGAACGGG
rnacentral:rRNA from 1 species